GCCUAGUUAGCUUAGUUGGUAGUGCGUCUGCCUAAUAAGCGCUAGGCCGCGGGUUCGAUUCCCGCCCGGGGCG
rnacentral:tRNA from 1 species